UUGAACGCUGGCGGCCGGCCUAACACCUGCCAGUCGAGCGGAUGAAGGGAGCCUGCUCCUGGAUUCAGCGGCGGACGGGUGAGUAAUGCCUAGGAAUCUGCCUGGUAGUGGGGGAUAACGUCCGGAAACGGGCGCUAAUACCGCAUACGUCCUGAGGGAGAAAGUGGGGGAUCUUCGGACCUCACGCUAUCAGAUGAGCCUAGGUCGGAUUAGCUAGUUGGUGGGGUAAAGGCCUACCAAGGCGACGAUCCGUAACUGGUCUGAGAGGAUGAUCAGUCACACUGGAACUGAGACACGGUCCAGACUCCUACGGGAGGCAGCAGUGGGGAAUAUUGGACAAUGGGCGAAAGCCUGAUCCAGCCAUGCCGCGUGUGUGAAGAAGGUCUUCGGAUUGUAAAGCACUUUAAGUUGGGAGGAAGGGCAGUAAGUUAAUACCUUGCUGUUUUGACGUUACCAACAGAAUAAGCACCGGCUAACUUCGUG
rnacentral:rRNA from 1 species